GCGGCAUGUCCUGCCCCGGCUUGCAGGGACGCCGUGACUCUGGCUGGGAUUUAAGGUGCGCUUCCCGCCGAGCGGUGUACCCUCGAUCUCCUCGGGCGUUAUUUUACACCUAGCCCCUCAGUUCAGUGCAGCGAUACCAACGGUAAUCCCUGUUUGGAAAGGGUGGUGAACAUUGUCAUGGCUUGAUGGGAAAGAAAAGGUUCUUCAGAGGAAAAAUCCUGGACAUUGAAGAACUGAUGAUCGGUAUCUGUUGGUGUCUGGUUGUCCUGCCCUGUGACCGUUCCUGGUGCAAUUCAAGAAGCAAUGCAGAAAAUACGACGAGGAUGCUUCAGGAGCAUCUGCUCGCAGCACUGGGUGAGACACGUCGGAGCUGACCCCCAGACCAGGGUGAAACUCCCAGUAACUCCUGAAAAAAAACCACCAGCGACCACACAUGCUUCUCCCAGUGCUGAAGCAAUGUGGCUGUCCUUAUGAGCAAAUGAAAAUACUACAAAAGACAUGGAAGCAUCACAGAAAACCACUAAAGAACAAGGUUACAGUCUCCUUAUUCACAGCCUCUACACGUGGUUUAAGGUACUAUUGUGCUCUAUUAGCAUCACCACGAAACAAUCCAACACACUGGAAUAACUUGAGGAAUCAAGACACGAAGACCACCAGGCAAUUUAUACAGAAGACUGAGAUACGGCAUAAAUGUUCAUAUAC